rnacentral:rRNA from 1 species
AGAGUUUGAUCAUGGCUCAGGAUGAACGCUGGCGGCGUGCCUAACACAUGCAAGUCGAGCGCGAUUAGUUGGACUGGAGACUUCGGUCAAAGGGAAGAUUAUGAAAGCGGCGGACGGGUGAGUAACGCGUGAGCAACCUGCCCUGUACAGGGGGAUAGCCACUGGAAACGGUGAUUAAUACCCCAUAAACCCAAAGGACCGCAUGGUCCAAUGGGCAAAGUCCAAACGGUACAGGAUGGGCUCGCGUCUGAUUAGCUAGUUGGUGAGGUAACGGCUCACCAAGGCGACGAUCAGUAGCCGACCUGAGAGGGUGAACGGCCACACUGGAACUGAGACACGGUCCAGACUCCUACGGGAGGCAGCAGUGGGGAAUAUUGCACAAUGGGCGCAAGCCUGAUGCAGCAACGCCGCGUGAGUGAAGAAGGCCUUCGGGUCGUAAAACUCUGUCCUAAGGGAAGAAGAAGUGACGGUACCUUAGGAGGAAGCCCCGGCUAACUACGUGCCAGCAGCCGCGGUAAUACGUAGGGGGCAAGCGUUAUCCGGAAUCACUGGGCGUAAAGGGUGCGUAGGCGGCUGAUCAAGCCAGGGGUGAAAGGCUGUGGCUUAACCAUGGUAAGCCUUUGGAACUGGUCAGCUUGAGUGCAGGAGAGGAAAGCGGAAUUCCUAGUGUAGCGGUGAAAUGCGUAGAUAUUAGGAGGAACACCCGUGGCGAAGGCGGCUUUCUGGACUGUAACUGACGCUGAGGCACGAAAGCGUGGGGAGCAAACAGGAUUAGAUACCCUGGUAGUCC